CGCACAUCGAACGCGCCCUUUCCAGUCCUAACGGCUCCUUCAGUUUUCAAAUUUCUCGUUGAUGAAGUGGAAGACGAAACAGCGGCGUCUGAAGGCUCACUGUCAUUCACAAGUGGCUCCAGUCUGGUUUGGGGGUUCUGCCAUCCAAGUAAAGUUAUUCACAAGUGGCUCCAGUCUGGUUUGGGGGUCUACGCUUUCUCAUCCUGUCCUGCC